rnacentral:ncRNA from 1 species
AAAAACACAUGGAUGAGAAGAGUAGUUCUGGGAAAGCUUGACAGAAAGUCUCGGUGGAUGAGAAGAGAUAAGUGGUAGCAGAAUGAAGGUAAUCUCUGAGUGGUCGAUGCGACGCAGAUGCGAAGUUUCGAAAGGGUUCGCCCUUUAUCGCGACAACGUCUUGCCAAAUAGGCAGUACGGGGUAAGGCUUGCUUGGCGACAGGCAAGUAAAACAAGGUGGUAACACGCAUCUGCGUCCUUGCU